GUGAGGAAUAUUGCGCAAUGGGGGAAACCCUGACGCAGCGACGCCGCGUGGGCGAUGAAGGCCUUCGGGUCGUAAAGCCCUUUUGGCAGGGACGAGUGAGGACGGUACCUGUUGAAUAAGUCUCGGCUAACUACGUGCCAGCAGCCGCGGUAAAACGUAGGAGGCAAGCGUUAUCCGGAUUCACUGGGCGUAAAGCGUGCGUAGGCGGUUGAGUAAGUCGGAUGUGAAAGCCCCUGGCUCAACUGGGGGAGGUCAUUCGAUACUGCUCGGCUUGAGGAUGAGAGAGGAGAGCGGAAUUCCCGGUGUAGCGGUGGAAUGCGUAGAGAUCGGGAGGAACACCAGCGGCGAAAGCGGCUCUCUGGCUCAUAUCUGACGCUGAGGGCACGACAGCGUGGGGAGCAAACGGGAUUAGAAACCCUAGUAGUCC
rnacentral:rRNA from 1 species